rnacentral:ncRNA from 2 species
GUCAAAUGUCUGGGGUGCCGCUUGCGGCUGAGAUCAUACCCAUUGAACCUGACACAGUUUGGACUGUCGGAGGAAGACAACGCGCGGGAACC